rnacentral:tRNA from 1 species
GGGGAUUUAGCUCAGUGGUAGAGUGCUUGUCUAGCAAGCGCAAGGCCCUGGGUUCGAUCCCCAGCUCCG